GCCGGGGUAGCUCAGUGGUAGAGCACAUGACUGAAAAUCAUGGUGUCGGCAGUUCNNCCCCCCGGCACCA
rnacentral:tRNA from 1 species